AACGAAAAAAAAAAUCUUGAUUUGAUGGUUCUUGACAUGGAAAUUAUUCAAAUGUUUAACAGUAAUUACAUUUUCCAUUGUUUUUUUUUAUGUUUUUCUGCUUAAGUAGAUUUUUAAUGAGGCGUUACAACUAGUCUAUACGGGUAACACAAUAAUCACAUCUAUGAUUGGCAUUGGAGAUGUUUUUAUUUUUCUUCAAGAUGCCGGACAACUUAUGUCAUGACUCAUUUUACGCUGCGACACGACGUCAAUGCAUUAUUCUGACAAAAUGAUACAGGCAACGAGUAGGCAAACUUCUGAAGAAAACGUGUUUGUAUACGGACAAGUUAUUGCUGACGUCAUCAAAUGUCUAAAAUCAUCAUUCAUCGGCAAAAGUGGAUUUUUUCAUGGGAAUUGCAAUAAGUUAUUUUUGAUAGGGUUAAGAUUCCAUGGAAAAAGAAGAAUAGGAAUAUCAGAAAAAAUCAGCUUUUAUGAGCUAUUCUGCAUUUCUCAGCAACAAGUAAUUUAACCUAAGUACGGAGUUCACUGAUUCCAUUCUUGAGAAAGGCUUCUUUAUCAAUCCAAACAUUGUUCAAAAGUUCCAGUACUUUAACGAACCUACGCAUGGCUUCGAUAUAACUGACCACUAUGAAAGCAGCAUUUUUUUUCGCAUACAUUUUAAAAUUAGAAACGUUAUUGAAGGAUAUGAGCAAACUAUUUCUGUACCGCAUAAGAAAAAAUUUACUUAAAACAAAACAAAAUCGUGUUGAAUCAUAAUCAGAUAUGUGUUUUAUGCAACAAGUAUAGGAACCAACAUAACAAUUGAUCUUAAUGUUUGGUAAAUUGUGCAAACAAACGUCACUGGGUCCUUUACAAACGUCAUUCAAGUCUAUAAAAUAACCUGAAGUUACUUGGCUUGAUUAUUUUAUUUUCGAUACCCUUGGAACAGCACAUCAACAAGACGUUAAAGUUUUUAAGAAACCAAUAGAAAAUGGAAAGAAAAAACAUUCUGUUGUAUUACAUACUGAUAUGCGCAAUUACCUAUUCUCAUACUACUGUAUCACCAUAUGGUAAAUGCAUCUAUCAAUGCCAGACUAACUUUGCUCAAUGUCAGGCAAUAGAUGAAAACGAGAUGACUAUUUGCUUCAAUGGAAAGAAACAAUGUGUAAGAAUUUGCAUAGCGAAAAGUUCGGGUACAUUGGCAGCAAAAAAGUUUCUAUUUGAAAAAAUCUUAAAGAAAAUGAAGAAGAGAGAAUAUUAGAUUGCCCGCAUGGUGAAAUUGUAAAUUCUUGGUCGACAACAUUUGAGAGAGCAUGUUAGUGUUUUGAAAAUAUGUAAGGUUGGAAAAGUAGACUGCCAUGAAAAAUCAGAGCAAAGAAAAUAUAUGUGCUAACUGAAUUGGAGGCAAUCAGGAAACUGCUUAAAAAGAACAUUCUAUUUUGCGUUUAAAUUUAUUUUAUUAUACUGUAUGGUAUUUAUGUUGUUGUAAUUAACUUUAUUAUUCAAAAUCCGUGCGAAUAUAGAAAUGCUUAUGACACAUUUAUAUUUAUUCUGUUCUUUCUCUUUUUUUUUUUUUUAUUUGAUGUGCAGGAAAAAAAGCAAAGAAAUAGGAUUUUUUCAUGAAGGAAAUAAAACAUUUUCUCUCACGUAGCGGAGAACUAGUCCUUUUUAAAUAAUUAAGAAACUUCCUUCUCCAGUAUUUUACACUCGUCACAAUACCAGUCAUUAUUAUUUCAUAAAGAAUGUUUAAACGGCUUAUAAGCCAUUAAUAGAGUUAGCUAUGAUUUUCUUGGAAGUAUUAUUAUCUUAACAAACCCAUGCAUUUAUGCUGGCAGAAUAUGACAUAUUAAACGUUAAUGGUUUUGUUCAUCAAAGUUACAAACAUUUAGAACAAAAGUAGUAGCACGUGUUGCAGUUAAAACAUAAAGAGAGAUUUUAAAGCUUUCACACAGAGUCAUAUAAAAAUUUAAACUUUUACUGUCAAGCUAAAGAAAACAAGUGAUUAAUCACUUAUAUAAUCUGUCAAUUCACAAAAUAAAUCUAGAAAACAUUGCAUCUAAAACAGCACAUUGCCGAAAGAGUGGAAGUGGAAGCUUGUAAUAAGACGAUACGAAGCUAAAUUGUGAAUGUGCGAAACUGUCUACCUGUACUACACGCUCUAUCCGAUGUAAAAUGCAGAUAUCAUCGUUCGUUUUUUAAUUGCAGAAAGUAACAGCCAACAUUCUAAUUACAUAAAUUUUCCGUUAUCCCUGAAAAUUCUGGAUAGACGUGGAAAUUUAAUUUUCCUUCGAAAGCCUGAAAAACAUUUUUUAAAGGUUUUUAAUUAUUUUUUUUGUUGAUAAAUGAAAAAUAGCUAGCUAGCUUUGAACAGAAGAUGAUAUGAGUAACUGGCUGGCUUUUUCCAAAUGUAUUUCACAUUUGGAAAAAGCCAGCCAGUCAAUGGAUUUAUCAGAAUUGUUGAUGUUGCUGGCACAUAUCUGUCUCCGCUUAUUGAGUGUACAUUGAGUCUAGCAGUAUUUAAAAAUCACAUUUUACACAUCUCUGAUUUUAGAGUUAGGAUAUUAAUUUGACUUUCUUAUUGUGGUUGACAAGUUGGACACUAAACUCCAUGUUGUUAGUAUUGGUGCUAAAAUGUAAGGACUCUUCCAAGCGAUUCACAGCUAUUCUUGGGAUGUUCUUGCUGAAUGUUUAUCACAUUUUAAGCCUCUUCCCUAUGUCCUAUUUUGUAAAAAAAAUAUUAAAUAUUCCAAACCGUGUUAGUUUUUUUGGGGUGACGAAAUUUCUAGUGAUUUUACUCAGUCAAAAUAAAUUUCAACUUGGGAAAAGUUCAAAGCAUUCUCCAAUUCAUUUUGAAAAUUGUUCUUGGUGAAGGAAAACAUUGCAAAAAUUGAUUCUAACUAUUUUAGAACAUAUUUUAUAUAUACUUAUCACUUACGUUAUGUUUUUCUUGUUAUGCCUGUUAUAUUUACUUAGCUCUUUUGUUAUAUUUUAUUGACUUUAUUUCUUCCCCUUAAGCAAAACAAAAAUUAUCAAAAAUGUUGACCUCAUCAAAAUUUUGAUGACGUCAAAGAUACAUAGGGGGGACCACCAUAUGGUCCUCUCCCAACGAUUCAGCCCUUUAAAGCCCAGUUGGAAUAGGGUUAAUAAAAAACAAAAUGGUUAAUGAAACGGUUUCGGUGUCAUGCCAAAAAGAAAUUUUUUUUUAACAAAAUGCUUUUCAAACUUUAGCUUUAAUCAGGAAAGACAUUGUAAACUUUUGGUUUAAUAUUUUUACAGAUCAACACUAUUGAGGAUCUCCUUGAAAAUAAUUUAUUGUAAAUAAACAACUUCAACAGUUCUGCGAAAUUUUUAAGAUUUAUACAAAUAAACCUAGUUGAUAAGAACAUUGAUUUCAACAUUCUUAUAAGAGCAAGAUAUGUAUGUUGUAAGUCAAGUUAAAUCUUAAACCAAGUUGACCAGAAGUAAAGAGUGGUCGAGCGCAUUUUAUAGAAAACCAAGUUGACCCAAUGAAUUAGUUAAAGUUGCCCGUACUGCGUAAAGUUCCUGAUGUAUUGUCUGAAGUCUGGACAAUAAGGUAAAAGUCUAAAUUGUGUUCAAAAUAGGCUAAAGUGAUUGCUAAGAAAUUUAAAGGUAGAAAGAUGUAUUUUCGAAGUUAAAAUAUAUUUACAAGCAUUUCACACUUAUGUACAAAAAGAGUGUGUUGUGGCUAAAAAUCUUUCAACAAACUCUCAUACUUUGGCGUAAUUGGACCGUUCUACAGGCAAUCGUAACACUUCACUUUGCCGUCUAUGUUCAACAAUAAAAUGUAGUGGUCUACGCUUCCUCUACGGUAUAGGACGUAAUCACGAUAAAGUGAUAUAUAGCAUCCUUUUACCUGAAAAUAACUGUGUAAAAUAAAUAGGGAAAGUCGAUUAAGUUUUGCAAACCUGUCAAAUUAUAUUACCGAAUUAUGCAUAGUUAUUAUUUAAAUUCUGUAAUAGUUUAACAUUAUCUAGGAUAUGAAAAAAAGGUUUUUUGAGGUGAGGUGUAACCUUUAAUACGUAACAUUGGUUGCAACAUGUACAAUUUAUUCUUUUAUUCUCUUCCGUUUUCAAACAUUGAAUUCACAUUAGCUACUUACUUACUUACUGUAAGUAGCUAAGGUUAACCAUAACAAUGCUGGAUACAAAUGUAUGAUUAUUGACAGUCAAUAAGAAAGAGAGAGAAAAUAGUGACAGAGAGAGAGUGUGACAGUGACAUAAUUACAACAAUGUUGAAAAUGCUUUGUAGAUUACUAAUGCAACUAAGCUACAGCUAC